GCUCAGGACGAACGCUGGCGGCGUGCUUACACAUGCAAGUCGAGCGAGAAAGCCCCUUCGGGGGUGAGUACAGCGGCGAACGGGUGAGUAACACGUGGGCAACCUGCCCCAGAGACUGGGAUAACGUCCCGAAAGGGACGCUAAUACCGGAUGAUGCGCGACCUGCCAAGUGGGUCGCGCCAAAUGGUAGCUUCGGCUUCUGCUCUGGGAUGGGCCCGCGCCGGAUUAGCUUGUUGGUGAGGUAACGGCUCACCAAGGCGACGAUCCGUAGCUGGUCUGAGAGGACGAUCAGCCACACUGGGACUGAGACACGGCCCAGACUCCUACGGGAGGCAGCAGUGGGGAAUCUUGCGCAAUGGGCGAAAGCCUGACGCAGCAACGCCGCGUGCGGGAAGAAGGCCUUCGGGUUGUAAACCGCUGUCAGGAGGGACGAAGCCACUCAGGUGAAUAGCCGAGAGGGUGACGGUACCUCCAGAGGAAGCCCCGGCUAACUACGUGCCAGCAGCCGCGGUAAUACGUAGGGGGCUAGCGUUGUCCGGAAUCAUUGGGCGUAAAGCGCGUGUAGGCGGCUUGCCAAGUCCGAUGUGAAAGCUCGGGGCUUAACCCCGAGUCUGCAUUGGAAACUGGCUUGCUUGAGUCCGGAAGAGGAGACUGGAAUUCCUGGUGUAGCGGUGAAAUGCGCAGAUAUCAGGAAGAACACCGGUGGCGAAGGCGGGUCUCUGGGACGGUACUGACGCUGAGACGCGAAAGCGUGGGGAGCAAACAGGAUUAGAUACCCUGGUAGUCCACGCCGUAAACGAUGGGCACUAGGUGUGGGAGGUGUCGACUCCUUCCGUGCCGUAGCUAACGCAUUAAGUGCCCCGCCUGGGGAGUACGGCCGCA
rnacentral:rRNA from 1 species